AAUUGAAUUCUGAAAAAUAAAUAACCUCAAUACAAACAACACACACACGCCUCGGGUAAUAGCGGCCUACUCGAUUUGUCGCAAAUUUUUGCAUGCGACAUUUUGUCGUAUUGGAACCACAACAAACAAAUGACAUUUUAAAUUUUGCAAAAUCAAUGAAUUAGAAU